rnacentral:ribozyme from 1 species
UAAAGUAAGCGUCGACAUAGAAGAUGACUGGUGGGAAUAUUGAGUUUAUUUCAGCAACAUGUUUAUAUUUUGGAAGUCUGAAACAGAAAAUGACGAG